CACGGAGGGAGCAAGCGUUGUUCGGAAUUACUGGGCGUAAAGGGCUCGUAGGUGGCCAACUAAGUCAGACGUGAAAUCCCUCGGCUUAACCGAGGAACUGCGUCUGAUACUGGAUGGCUUGAGUUUGGGAGAGGGAUGCGGAAUUCCAGGUGUAGCGGUGAAAUGCGUAGAUAUCUGGAGGAACACCGGUGGCGAAGGCGGCAUCCUGGACCAAUACUGACGCUGAACAGCGAAAGCCAGGGGAGCAAACGGG
rnacentral:rRNA from 1 species